rnacentral:rRNA from 1 species
CCUACGGGAGGCAGCAGUGAGGAAUAUUGGUCAAUGGACGAGAGUCUGAACCAGCCAAGUAGCGUGAAGGAUGACUGCCCUAUGGGUUGUAAACUUCUUUUAUAUGGGAAUAAAACAGGGUAUGCAUACCCUCUUGUAUGUACCAUAUGAAUAAGGAUCGGCUAACUCCGUGCCAGCAGCCGCGGUAAUACGGAGGAUCCGGGCGUUAUCCGGAUUUAUUGGGUUUAAAGGGAGCGUAGGUGGAUUGUCAAGUCAGUUGUGAAAGUUUGCGGCUCAACCGUAAAAUUGCAGUUGAAACUGGCAGUCUUGAGUACAGUAGAGGUAGGCGGAAUUCGUGGUGUAGCGGUGAAAUGCUUAGAUAUCACGAAGAACUCCGAUUGCGAAGGCAGCUCACUGGACUGCAACUGACACUGAUGCUCGAAAGUGUGGGUAUCGAACAGGAUUAGAUACCCGUGUAGUC